CUUCCGUGUCACACGCUGGCUGAGUCCCUGCAGACUGCGGAGGUGGGGGCAGGACCCUUCUGGCGUCCCGCCCGGGCGGACUUGCUGCGGGAAGCGCACAGGGGGCCGAAUGCUCUGAGGAAUCACUCUUCUGAGGAAGAAAUUAAACCCCAGUAAAGCCUCUGCUACCCACAAUAUGAGGAUGGAUUCAGCCAUUGGCACCCAGGAGGUCACCUAGAAGACAACAUCUCCAAAGAAAGAAUAAAUGUCCCUCCUCUGGUAGUGUGUCACCAAGAGACCCAAACAUGAAACAUUCUACUGAUGGCCUGCUGCUCUGGAAAGGGGUGUCAGUAUAUUUGCACAUACAAUGUGUUUGAGGUUGACACUGCUGUGUGGCCAGAACAAAGGGUAUCAACAGAACUAGUCGUUAUUGUCGUUCACCCUCAUGCUCCAGCAGGCUAACGAAGUGAAAGGCUCUCAUGGAAAGGGUGACCUAUUGUGGGGACAUAUCACAUAGUGACCAAUCGUCAAAACCAUUCUGAUGGUCAAUUGGAGUGUGAAGUCACAGCUCAGCAUUUUUGGUUCACCCCAAAGGCACAGAUAUUUAUUGGGCAUGUAGCCAUGUAUCUGUUAUCUUCGUUGUAUUCUACUGUAUGCAUCAGAAGAUUAGGGGGUUAAGCAAAGGGUAUCAAGUACUGCCACAAACACCUCCUGUGGGAAAUCAACCCCAAAUUAUAUGUGCUCCCAAUCCCAUUGCACCUCAGGUGGUAACCAAUCAACCCAAGGCACCACUCAGUCCCAGAUAAUCCCUCAUGAUGAGGUAACACAAUACAAAGAACCAAAUAAUUAUGUGGCCUGCACUUACAGCAAAGAUGGAUCAGGUACUAGAAUGCUCCUGUGCAACUAUUUGUCCCAGACAGUCAAUCACUGAUCUGAGUUUACGUGCUGGGGUCUUUAAUCAAUAGCCUAUCAAGGUAGGAGGCACUUGUAGCCUAUAGGUGUAGGUAUUUGCUAGGCCAGGCCUAGGUAUAAGUUAAGGCACUAAUGCAAUAAGCCUACCAGCCUCAAAGGCUGGAAGACAAGAGCUUAGCUAAGCUAAUCAAGGCGUGAGGCCCCAAAAGCCUUAGCAUGAGCAUCUAACCAGUAAGUAACCCCACAUCAUAAGGCAGCAAUGGCCCAAAAUAGCCCAAGACAGAACGCUCUAAUAACCAAGUAUCACUAAACAGC